CCCUCUCUCUCUCUGCCUCCUCCACUAAUGCUCUUCUUUUACUCUGUAUUGUCAUUCAUUCCAUCAGUCAGGAAGAAGAACCCGUUUGAAUACAACAGGCCUGCCUCCCAAAUGGCACCCUAUUCCCUAUAUAGUGCACUACUUUAGACCAGGGCCCGUAGGGACUAAUAUAGGGAAUAGGGCACCAUUGAGAUACAUGGCAGAAUGGGAUCCUGUGAGAUUGAUAGUGACAUGAAGACAGAAUGCAGGGCAGGACAGAGAAAGGCUUAUUUGCACUUGAAAACAAAAACACUACAGAUUAUUACCAAAACCCUGCCGCCUUCACUGUAGUCUUUAAAGUCCUUCAAUGGCUCUCUCUCUUUCUCUCUGUUCAGAGAGUGGUGUGUGUAACUCCUGGUCUCCACAUUGUGUGUGUGUGCGUGCGAUGUUAAUGAGCUUAAUCUAAUCUGUCUGCUCCACUAUUCCCAGAUUACUGUAAUAUGACCCGUUUGGUGCCGUGUGAUAUGGGAACUACACUAUAUCCCAUAAUGAGGGUUAGCUAACACUGGUGUCGCCAUGGAGAUGUCUCAUUCAGGGAAGUGAGGAGAGGAGGUACCCCAGGGGUUAAAUUGAAGAGGACAGGAUUAGAAUUCGUGUAGAACAGACCAGUAGCUGUAAAACCCACAGGAUUAUCUUUGAAUUGGGAUAGAGGUUCUCUAUUCAUUGUAAUGCUAUGGUACGGAGUCUGGGAGCCCGUUUAAAAGGACCCCUCUUAUAGGACCAUAUUUAGCCUAUUGUGAUGUCAUCAAUUAGGCUUGCGUCAUGUCACUAUGACGUCAUCAGUUAGAAUGUUCAAAGGACUGCGUCAUCACCACAUUGUGAUGUCAUCAGUUAGAGGGUGUGUUCCUCUGUUCAGACGUUGCUGACGCCAGAUCUUACAUCGCCUGGAUAGGUAUUUUACAGAUCAGCUAAACACAUCACAUGCUAAAGCAAUCUGGUGCAACCAGUGGUUGAUGCAUGUGACAUCUGAGCAGAGAGACGCAACCAGAAUGUUUUAACAAAGGAUCACUUCAUCUGGUUGUGAUGUCAUCAGUUGGAAUGUUCUACAAAGGGCUACAUCCAAUUAUGAUGUCAGAAUCCCAGAAUAAAGCACAAUGAGUAAACUGUCACUAUACCCUGAAUCAGAACCUGAAGCAGAUACAGUAUGUGACUUAACCCGUGUCCAAGCUGGCCUGAUGUCGGCCCCAAAUCCUACAGGGAUCCUCUAAGAAUGAGAAGAAGAGGCUUCAGUGCACUUCCUGUUCCUCGUUCCGAAUGUCAUGGGCAGGAAAUGUGCGCUUUACUUACUGGCUUCCAGACAGGCAGAGAGAGGGACAGAUGGGCAGAGAGAAGGGCAGACAGACAAGCAGAGAGAGUGACAGACUGGCAGAGAGAGGGGCAGAGCUUGUCAGAGGGGACACUGUUUAGUCAGUGUGGUUUGGUCGUGGUGGGCCGGCGACCACAGCUGCCUAUAGUGUUGAGGUCAGCCCCUUUUCUCAGAUUUUGGGUAGAGAAAGGAGGUCUCCUCCUGUACCCCUCUAUAGACCCAGACACCCUGAGGUCUCCUCCUCUACCCCUCUAUAGACCCAGACACCCUGAGGUCUCCUCCUCUACCCCUCUAUAGACCCAGACACCCUGAGGUCUCUCCCUCUACCCCUCUAUAGACCCAGACACCCUGAGGUCUCCUCCUCUACCCCUCUAUAGACCCAGACACCCUGAGGUCUCCUCCUGUACCCCUCUAUAGACCCAGACACCCUGAGGUCUCCUCCUGUACCCCUCUAUAGACCCAGACACCCUGAGGUCUCCUCCUCUACCCCUCUAUAGACCCAGACACCCUGAGGUCUCUCUCCUCUCUCUCUCUCUCUACACUACAACAGUAAUUUAGUAGCCUACUGUAGUGGGAUCUGUCUCUGUAUCCACAGCAUCUGAGUUGGAGUGCUGAUCCAGGAUUAGGUUCCAACCUGUCCAUAUAAUUUGAUUCAUUAUGAGCUAAAAGGCAAAACUGAUCCUACAUUAUGAAUCACUCCAUACUAGAUCUACUCUGAGAAGCUUUGAGGAUACAGGCCGAGUCCCCCAGUCCUGGUGGCUAAACUGAUCCCAGAUCAGUACUGCUGCUCUGAGAAGCUUUGUGGAAACAGGCCCAGUCCCCCAGUCCUAGUGGCUAAACUGAUCCUGGAUCAGCACUGCUGCUCUGAGAAGCUUUGUGGAUACAGGCCCAGUCCCCCAGUCCUGGUGGCUAAACUGAUCCCAGAUCAGCACUGCUGCUCUGAGAAGCUUUGAGGAUACAGGCCCAGUCCCCCAGUCCUGGUGGCUAAACUGAUCCUAGAUCAGCACUGCUGCUCUGAGAAGCUUUGAGGAUACAGGCCCAGUCCCCCAGUCCUGGUGGUUAAACUGAUCCUAGAUCAGCACUGCUGCUCUGAGAAGCUUUGUGGAUACCCAGGCCCCCAGUCCUGGUGGCUAAACUGAUCCUAGAUCAGCACUGCUGCUCUGAGAAGCUUUGAGGAAACAGGCCCAGUCCCCCAGUCCUGGUGGCUAAACUGAUCCUAGAUCAGCACUGCUGCUCUGAGAAGCUUUGAGGAUACAGGCCCAGUCCCCCAGUCCUGGUGGCUAAACUGAUCCUAGAUCAGCACUGCUGCUCUGAGAAGCUUUGUGGAUACAGGCCCAGUCCCCCAGUCCUGGUGGCUAAACUGAUCCCAGAUCAGCACUGCUGCUCUGAGAAGCUUUGAGAAGCUUUGAGGAUACAGGCCCAGUCCCCCAGUCCUGGUGGCUAAACUGAUCCCAGAUCAGCACUGCUGCUCUGAGAAGCUUUGAGGAUACAGGCCCAGUCCCCCAGUCCUGGUGGCUAAACUGAUCCCAGAUCAGCACUGCUGCUCUGAGAAGCUUUG
ensembl:lncRNA